rnacentral:rRNA from 1 species
AUCCAGCCAUGCCGCGUGAGUGAUGAAGGCCUUAGGGUUGUAAAGCUCUUUCACCGGAGAAGAUAAUGACGGUAUCCGGAGAAGAAGCCCCGGCUAACUUCGUGCCAGCAGCCGCGGUAAUACGAAGGGGGCUAGCGUUGUUCGGAAUUACUGGGCGUAAAGCGCACGUAGGCGGAUAUUUAAGUCAGGGGUGAAAUCCCAGAGCUCAACUCUGGAACUGCCUUUGAUACUGGGUAUCUUGAGUAUGGAAGAGGUAAGUGGAAUUGCGAGUGUAGAGGUGAAAUUCGUAGAUAUUCGCAGGAACACCAGUGGCGAAGGCGGCUUACUGGUCCAUUACUGACGCUGAGGUGCGAAAGCGUGGGGAGCAAACAGGAUUAGAUACCCUG